rnacentral:misc_RNA from 1 species
GAUGAAGAACGCAGCGAAAUGCGAUAAGUAAUGUGAAUUGCAGAAUUCAGUGAAUCAUCGAAUCUUUGAACGCACAUUGCGCCCGCCAGUAUUCUGGCGGGCAUGCCUGUCUGAGCGUCAUUUCAACCCUCAUGCCCCUAGGGCGUGGUGUUGGGGAUCGGCCAAAGCCCGCGAGGGACGGCCGGCCCCUAAAUCUAGUGGCGGACCCGUCGUGGCCUCCUCUGCGAAGUAGUGAUAUUCCGCAUCGGAGAGCGACGAGCCCCUGCCGUUAAACCCCCAACUUUCCAAGGUUGACCUCAGAUCAGGCAGGAAUACCCGCUGAACUUAAGCAUAUCAAUAAGCGGAGGA